AGGCAGAGUGAGAGAGGAUUAGUUUUGAAUAGAAUGAUUAUGAAAGGCAGCACUAAGAAGGUAACGUCUGAGCAAUGACCUGAAGGAACAAACCAUGUAAAUACCCAGGGCAAAAAUCAUUCCAGGCAGCAGGAACUACAGGCGCAAAUGUCCUGGGGCAGAAACACAUCUGGAGACCUUAUUUUGUUCCCAUAUCAUCAUGAUGCCUAAGAACAUGUAUCUACCGAGAACCACCUAGAGGAUAAAACAGCACAGCCCACAGGCACUCCUCAGACAGUUGGAAAGUGAAGUAAAUGAACUCUGCAGUGGUGUCUUCCAACUCUCACUUCCAACUCUCCUGUGUUUGUAGUCUCCAUGUUCCCAAACAAGGGAAAAUACAGCCACAAUCUCCAAAGGACAAAAGAAGAAAAACCAAGGCCCACUAUUUUUUGCCACAUGCUCAUGGGACAGAGGGGGUGUUUCUUUGGGAUGAAGUCUGAACAAUGAAGCAGGGCCAGCCUCAUCACUUGAGGAAGUCACCAGGCUCUUUGUUUUCCCGUCCCUGCAAUUUAGCAGAUAGGUCCUCUCCUUCUCUGGAAGAAAUGGUGCCAGGUAUGAGGCAGACCACUGCUGAAGCUCCGGAGAAGAUUCAAUAGCUUCUAGUAUCUGGCAUUUUGGUCACUGGCAUUUGGCAAAAUGGCUCUUGAUUUAGCCACAGAAGUGUAAUUUGCUGAUACUCAACCAGAUGAUUCCAAACCUGAGAGAGGAAAUAUGAAACAAUAAAAUGGCAAGAAAGAGAAAUUGACAUCGAGGUACCCCUUCAAAAUGUUAUAAAUGCUAUAUUCUGUAAAGUAUAGAAAAAAAUGCACUCUUCCCUGGACACCAAGGAAAUCCAAAUGCAUAUGUUCCAUUAAAAUGGACAAAAAAUGAAAAGCUGCGUAAAAGGAUUUCAUUAAUCGCAAAUAUGUGGAUAUAAAAUUGAGUCUUUGAUAAAACAAACAGCUUGUGAUUUAUUGGAACUUGAAAUAUCCUUUAUUUCUUCUGUACUUUAUGAUAAAAAUUUUAGAAAAGGCCUGUUAUUAUCUAGUUUCUGGUGAGUGUGGGGACAUUUUCUGCUUUUUGUCAAUAAAGUUCUAAAACUACACUUCUGUGAUCACCUAGAAAAGUAUUUUGGAAGAAAUAGAUGUGUCUACUGAGUGGCAUUUUUAGAAAACCCUUCUGAUGAUUUGGGAGGCUGAGGUGGGAGGGUGGUUUGAGUUUAGGAGUU